UUGACAAGCAGUCUGUUGAACUUGUCUCACCAAGUGCUCAUGAGGGAUCAGCCUGUUGGCUGAGACAAAUCUAAUAGUGGUGACAACAACCUGCAUCAUACAAGUCAGAUAUUGUAUCUGCACAAACACGGCAGUCACUUAAGCCAAGCGGAGACGCCUCUGGAUAAAGAGGAAUCCACGUAGGCCUGCCGAGACUCGACACAAGCCUCAUAAGUAGCUGCUGAGUUGAUCUUAGAGCAGCUCAUUGGAGUCUAAAUCCAGAGACUGCGAUGGCCAUUCCAGCAUGGUUGUUUCUUCACAGCCUGAAGGGUGUCACUCACUCAUUCACUGACUCUGUAAACAGCAAAAAAGCCCCUGACCAUCACGCUUCCACUUCCAUGUUUGACUCGUUCCUCCUCCAUCCUUUCACCUACUCAAUACCCUACAAAAAAUUUCACAUUUUGCCUCAUCUGUCAAGAUCUUCCACCUGCAGCAGUCCACUGAC